UGUUCAGAGAGAUGUUAUUAAACACCUCUGGAGCAAAUGAGAAUUGAACUUGGGCCUUUCACUCCAGGGGUAGGGACACCACCACUGUGCUACAAGAGGGCCCCUGACAGAAAGAAAGAAUUGACUAAAUCAGAUUUUUUUUUAAAUUGCAUUCAAAUUUCACCAUCUGCUGUUUAAGAUUCAAAUCAAAACCUCUUUGCUGUUAUCCUGGGUCUCUGGAUUAUUUGUCCAGUGUUAUCACCACUAUGCUACCGUCUUUGGUGUCUGGGCCCUCCCCCAUCACUUUUAACGAUCUCCAGUAUCAGUCUGACUCCAUGACAAUCUGGCUGCUAGUCUCUGAAUGGACCUUAAACACACAAUUUUGAGCCCGUGCAAGAUUUUCCCAAGUUGUGGGAAACUUUCCAGGGUCAACAAGGAAAGAGCAGAGCACAGACUCUCUGAAACGUCUGGAAGUCAAGGACCUGAACUGUACAACAGCCUCGUUGUCUAGAGUGUUCAUGUAGCUUACUCGAGGACACAAGGGAAUCCUCGAAGGACGUGGGUGAUGCGACCCAAUGAGAAGCCCUACAUAUAAUGCAGAGGAAAGAUACAACUGGAGCCAAAUAAACACUAGUACAUUCAUCGUGAAAA